rnacentral:rRNA from 1 species
UACAGAGGGUGCAAGCGUUAAUCGGAAUUACUGGGCGUAAAGCGCACGUAGGCGGUUCGUUAAGUCUGAUGUGAAAGCCCUGGGCUCAACCUGGGAAUUGCAUUGGAUACUGGCAGGCUAGAGUGCGGUAGAGGAUGGCGGAAUUCCCGGUGUAGCAGUGAAAUGCGUAGAGAUCGGGAGGAACAUCUGUGGCGAAGGCGGCCAUCUGGACCAGCACUGACACUGAGGCACGGAAAGCGUGGGGAGCAAACAGG